rnacentral:rRNA from 1 species
AGUGAACGCUGGCGGUAGGCCUAACACAUGCAAGUCGAACGGCAGCACAGUAAGAGCUUGCUCUUACGGGUGGCGAGUGGCGGACGGGUGAGGAAUACAUCGGAAUCUACUUUUUCGUGGGGGAUAACGUAGGGAAACUUACGCUAAUACCGCAUACGACCUACGGGUGAAAGCAGGGGAUCUUCGGACCUUGCGCGAUUGAAUGAGCCGAUGUCGGAUUAGCUAGUUGGCGGGGUAAAGGCCCACCAAGGCGACGAUCGGUAGCUGGUCUGAGAGGAUGAACGGCCACAGGGGGAGUGAGAGACGGCACAGACGGCGACGGGAGGCAGCAGUUGGGAAUAUUGCACAAUGGGCGGAGGAGUGAUGCAGCAACGCCGCGUGCGGGAUGACGGCCGUCGGGGUGUAAACCGCUGGCGCCUGUGACGAAGCGUGAGGGAAGGUAAUGAGGAAAGAAGCACCGGCGAACUACGG